rnacentral:rRNA from 1 species
UUGAACGCUGGCGGCAGGCCUAACACAUGCAAGUCGAGCGGAAGAGAGGAGCUUGCUCCUCAAUUCAGCGGCGGACGGGUGAGUAAUGCCUAGGAAUCUGCCUGGUAGUGGGGGGACAACGUUUCGAAAGGAACGCUAAUACCGCAUACGUCCUACGGGAGAAAGCAGGGGACCUUCGGGCCUUGCGCUAUCAGAUGAGCCUAGGUCGGAUUAGCUAGUUGGUGAGGUAAUGGCUCACCAAGGCGACGAUCCGUAACUGGUCUGAGAGGAUGAUCAGUCACACUGGAACUGAGACACGGUCCAGACUCCUACGGGA